rnacentral:misc_RNA from 1 species
CAGAGUUGCGAAACUCCCAAACCAUUGUGGACAUACCCGUUCAGUUGCUUCGGCGGGCGGCCCCAGGGCGGGGCCCCGAGCCUGUUACAGGCGCCCGCCGAAGGAUUAAGACUCUAUAUUUCAAUGGCUCUCUGAGUUAAAGACAAAUAAGUCA